rnacentral:tRNA from 1 species
CGGAUUAAAGCCCGCUGGUUUGGGUACCUAGCUGUUAACUAGGUAUUUGUAGGAUCGAGGCCUGCUGAUCUAG